GACGAACCGUGCGAACGUUAUUCGGAAUCACUGGGCUUAAAGGGCGCGUAGGCGGGCAGGCAAGUCGAAGGUGAAAUCCCACGGCUCAACCGUGGAAGUGCCCCCGAUACUGCCUGUCUGGAGGGAGAUAGGGGCGUGCGGAACUUCCGGUGGAGCGGUGAAAUGCGUAGAUAUCGGAAGGAACACCGGUGGCGAAAGCGGCGCGCUGGAUCUCUUCUGACGCUGAGGCGCGAAAGCGUGGGGAGCAAACAGG
rnacentral:rRNA from 1 species